UCCCUGGCAGUCCAGUGGUUAGGACUCAGUGCUUUAACUGCUGUGGCCCAGGUUCAAUCCCUGGUCGGGGAA
rnacentral:tRNA from 1 species